UUAUUCAUUUACGCCAUAUUAAGCCUUCCGGGAGAUAACUGUGAAUGUCCAGUUAUCUGGAUUCCUGAGUGGCUCCUGUCCACUCUGUUUGACGCCUCCCUGUUAAUGACUUCGAGCCGCGCGCGCGCGGCUCUUUUUUU
rnacentral:sRNA from 1 species